rnacentral:lncRNA from 1 species
CUUUUUUUUUAAUUUAAGUAUAGUUGAUUUACAAUGUUAUAUUAGUUUCAGAUGUACAGUAUAGUGAUUCAAUAUUUUCAAAUCUUUUUUAAUGUAUUUGUAGUAUAGAAUCUAUGUGAAGAAAAUUUUAAAACUCCACUGCAGAGCACAAAGAAUUGGAAUCAACUUAAAGGUGUAUCUAUUUGUUCAAUGGAACGUGUCAGUAUCUUAAAAAUAUCAAUUGUCUCCACUAUCAGAAAUUAAAGCAUGAUAAAAUGACCAUAAUGAAAAUUAUUUGAUUCAGGCACUCAAAAGAAAGAUCAAUGUACAAAAAUACAGAAAUAUAGAGUAAAACAAUUCGAGGAUUUAGUAAAAAAUAGGAGCAACAUUACAUGUCCAAACAGAGAAUAUGGAUUAUUCAACAAAUUAUAUCAGAACAACAAAAAACCUGUCUGGGUUUUUUGAAUUUAGUCUCAUUCCCUAAAACAAAACUCAGUUCAAGAUGUAUUAAAGAUUUUAAUUUAAUAAAAAUAAAAGUAAAUACACAGGAAAGUUCAAAUUACCUUUUUUAAAAGUAUAAUCUUGAGUAGGAAUGGCUUUUCUAAUUAAGAUACAAAGCCCAGAUGUCAUAAAACAGUGGUUUGCAACCUCGGCUACACAUUAGAAUCACCCAAGGAACUUGUAAAAAGUUUCAAUCCUUAGACUCCACCCUGGACAAAAUCAAUCAGAAUCUCUGAAGAGAAGAGUCCAAGUCUCUGUUUCUGUUUUGUUUUUUGUUUGAUUGAUUUUUAAUGCUCUCUGGGUGAUUUCGAUACUGUUAGGCUUCAGAACAACUGCCACAAAAUAAAACCUUCAGAAUAUCUUGCCUAAUGCUCUGCAAACUAUCUCAGAUAUUCUUUGCCAAGAGGGGCCCAACCGCUAUUUUCACUUGGCAGCUGCCACACUGCGCCCCUUCCUCGCAGAGGCGGGCUGCCUUCUUGGCUUCACCCAGAAAUGGAAGGAAAGACCCUUUCCACAACUUAAAACAAUCUCAUAUACAUAUAGACUCUUAUAUCAAAACUUCAGAAUAACUGCAAACCAAAAAUCUACAAUUGAUACACAAACAAGGAAUCUCUGGAGAAGAAAUAUAUCUCACAGUAAAUAAGUGCAUAAUUCACCAUGAAGGGGGUCAUUUGACAUUCUUGGAAUGCUGAAGUCGUCUUAGAUCUGACUCUGAUCUCCUCUCCAUCAAGGAAUUUAUGAUAAUUAUAAUUAAAUAAUGCCACUGUACAAUUAAAUUAAAAAAAUAACAAUACCCAUAGGAUAUUGCAUAGGAACCAAGAUUCCUGGAACACUGCCUUAUUACCUCACCACCAACCAAUCAGAAGAAAGUCAUACACCCUGCAGCCCACUUCAAAUUUUGCCCAUAAAAACCUUUCCCUGAAAAUCAGUGGGAAAUUUGGAGGGUUGACUACAAGCCAUCCAUUCUCCUUGUUUGGUCCUGCAAAAAAACCUUUCUCUGCUCCAAACUGAUGUUUUCAUUUGUUUGACAUCAUUGUGCAUUGGGCACAGGGAUUUGUGUUCAGUGACAGUAUUAAGCUAUUUACAAAAUGUGUUUAUGUUUAUGCACAGCUAAGACAUGUUUCCUUUUUGGCCCCAACCACAACAUGUGGAAGUUCCUGGGCUAGAGAUCGAAUCUGUGCCAGAGCAGACUCAAACCACAGCAGUGACAACAUUGGAUCCUUAACCAACAGAGCCAAAAAGAAUUCCAAGUAGGACUUUUUUUGGCAAAUCUUACUGAAACCGGAACUAGACUAAAAGAGAAAUCUUAGAAGUUAAUUUAUAACUCACUAGCCAGUAAGAAAGGUAGAUGUAUUUUCUUUCUCAGGGAUCUGUAUUUGUUAUUUCAAAAGAGGAUGUGACCUGGGAAAAGAAUUCAUUCCCUGGCUUGUAAAGUUGGAGGCACAAGUCUUAGAUCUUCUCUGAAGGGAUUUAUUUGCUUUCUAAAGGGUGAGGACCCAGCAUCUUUCCUCUAAGAUUUUUAAAAAGACUGUCUUCUGAAGAGGAUAGGAGACUUUCAUACAUAAAUCCAAUAUUUUUUCACUUGGUCCCUUACCUGCAAUACAGACUCUAUUAUGUGUAGGAUGACAUCUGGUUUUCACUGUACCCCUGCAGUGGUGACAAAAAUUGGGACACAGAGGAAUCACACAGUUAUUAUUCACUUACAGUAAUAAGUAAAUUUGCUUAUUACUGUAAGUAAUAAUCUGCUCAGCCUCAGGAACUUUGUAUACAUAUUCAGGAUAAUAAUAAUAAUAAUAAUAGAUACUGAAAAGCUAACACUGAGUGUGAAUAACCGUCUCUACUUAAAAUUGGAUAUCAUGGUAUUGAAACACAACAUACUUGUUUCAGGAAGGGGGACUCUUCCUAAGGCCCAAGAAUGGACUCUUGUCUCACACUUAGACAUGAAUUGUCUGAGGAAACCCACAUACUUACAAAGCAAAAUACUUUAUUUGGAAGGGGCACCUGGAUAGAGAGCAGCAGGCUAAGGGAACCCAAGGGAACUUCUCCAUCAUGUGGUUCACAGUCUCAGUUUUAUGAGAAUGUGGUUAGUUUCUCUGGCCGAUCUGCUUACUGGCCCAUAUUUGAAAAGACUCGGGGUCCUUUUUGGUGGCACACGCAUCUCUCAGCCAAGGUGCAUUCCACCACAAGGAUUCCAGGAAGUCAGUUGGCUCCACCCUCCUACUGGUCCCUCCCAAUUCCUCCCAGUUAGUCUUCAGGGCAGCACAAUGUAUCCCUAUCUCCUGCCGUGAGACAGCUCAUGCAAGUGGCUAUUAUCAUGUCUGGCCAAGGUGGGCAGUUGCAGUCAAUGACCUCCUAACAUGGUUACUAGUUACAUUAUCAAUAUAUUAUAUAUACGUAAUAUAUGCAUGUGUGUGUGUGUGUGUGUAAGAUAAUGUAACUAGUGAAAUUUUAAGAUUAAAUGAAAAAGGACUUGUUAAAACUGUUAUUUUUUAAGAAUUAUAUAGAAAAAAGGAAAGAUGAUGAUAUUGAUGAUGGCAGAUAGCAAGUAGAAAUUAUUGGUAAAAUAUAAAUACCUUCAAAAGCCUGAUUUGGGUCCAAUAAAAUAUUUGAUGUUGGCUUACUUGUUACUCUUAUUCUUUCUUCAAAAUCCAAGUUCUUGAAGUUAGAUUAUUGCACCUGCUAAACUGCUAAAUUAUCAGAGUUCCCUGCUGGCUCAGGGGAUUGAGGAUCUGGUAUUGUCACUGCUGUGGCUCAGGUCACUGCUGUGGCAUGGGUUUGAUCCCUAGCAUGGGACCUUCCUCAUACUGUGUGAGUGGCCAUAAAUAAGUAAAUAAAUAUAAAAUUUAAAAUAAACUGCUAAAUUAUUGCCAAACUAAAGGAUUGCACAUGAUAAUCUAUAAAUGGCUCAGUGUAUUGUCUAUCAUAAUGUGACAUAUAGCUGCCAUAAGAAGAAAAAAAUCACAACUUUUUCCAAAUAAUAUUUGAAGAUAAGGCUAUUGUACAGAGAGUUGUGAGAAGUCAGUCCCAGAUGGCUGGUGUUCAAGAAAUGUAUCAUUUUGAAGGUAAGGAGAAGAUUGCUACCCUUCUGGUCCAGUCACUCCAAAGGAACUUGAUUAGAAAUGUUUCGGUUGGCAUUAUGAUGAUUUUAAUAGUGAAGAAGCUUUACGUUGACUAACAAAAUAAGAAAAUAGAUUUAAUUGCAACCGAGAAGAUGUUUACAUGUAGAAGGUAUGUGAAGAGGAAAAGCAAUAAUCCUAAAAAUCUGACAGGAAAAAUAAAGUUUUUUCCAUCAUAUAGACAUUUAAAAAAAAAAAAAAGUUUCAAUUCUUAGACUCCACCCUGGACAAAAUCAAUCAGAAUCUCUGAAGAGAAGAGUCCAAGUCUCUGUUUCUGUUUUGUUUUUUGUUUGAUUGAUUUUUAAUGCUCUCUGGGUGAUUUCGAUACUGUUAGGCUUCAGAACAACUGCCACGAAAUAAAACCUUCAGAAUAAUAUCUUGCCUAACGCUCUGCAAACUAUCUCAGAUAUUCUUUGCCAUUUUCACUUGGCAGCUGCCACACUGCGCCCCUUCCUCGCAGAGGCGGGCUGCCUUCUUGGCUUCACCCAGAAAUGGAAGGAAAGAUCCUUUCCACUCUCAGAAUGUUGAAAAUCUUUUGUGGUUCCAUCACAGUAGGGAUGCUGGCAGAAAAGAGGAAGUCAUGCUCAAAUUUGAGAAGAAUUUAAUAAACAGACUGUAUACAAAUGGAGUCAUUCAUCUCUUGAUUGCAAUGAUGAUUACAUGAAUCUACAGAUGUCAUAAAAUUGUAUAUGACUAUGCACAAAAAAAAAAAAAUGAGUGAAUGUGAAAACUGACAAAAUCUGAGUUGGGCCUAGAGUCUAGUCAAUAGUAUUGUACCAAUGUAAAUUUCUUUAUUUUGGUACUCUUCUGUACAUAAACUGUUGGCUUCAGGGGAAGCUGGAUGAAGGUACACAGAACCUCUCUGUACUAUUUUUGCAAGUUCUUAUGAGUCUUUAUUUCAAAAUAAAAAAUUUUAAAAAGAGAGCUACUAUAUAAGAAGAUGUGAGUAAAGAACAGGAAAAUCACACAAGGGCUGCUGUAGCAACAGCUGGUCCCAGUUCCUCCUCAUCAGGCUGAAAUAACAAGAGGAGUUACUAGAAGAGAGAGAGAAGGCAAGCGCAAGCGCGAACUGUAUGGAAAGGGCUAGCGGACAGGCACUGUGACCUUGCGACAACAGGUGCCAGGUGGGCCAAGAUGUGGAGUUUGUAGAAAUUGGAACCUGGAUCAUUGUCCAAGCUUGAGGAAAAUUAAUUUGGGGACCUGAGAGGCAUUGAAAAAUCUGGAACAGCCACUGGAAUGUAAUUUAGGAGGGAGGGAAAGAUUUUAUAGGAGUCUAUAUCUGAGAAAAGUAAAUAAUUACCAGACACAUUCGUUAGCAUAUUUUAAGCUGCAAUAAAUCCCAUCAGCAUUAUAUGAUUAUAUUAGUCAAGGCUCUUCAGAGAAAUAGAACCAAUAGGAAUUUUAUAUAUGCAUAUAACUGUUAUAAUGUAUAAUGUUUAUAACUGAUUUACAUAU